UCCGAAGUAGCUCAGUGGUAGAGCAAUCGGCUGUUAACCGAUCGGUCGUAGGUUCGAGUCCUACCUUCGGAG
rfam:Psychrobacillus sp. FJAT-21963 super27, whole genome shotgun sequence.